rnacentral:rRNA from 1 species
CCCCUAGAUGUUCUGGGCCGCACGCGCGCUACACUGAACAGUUCAACAAGUCUUAACCUUGGCCGAUAGGUCUGGGUAAUCUUUGAACGCUGUUCGUGAUUGGGAUAGACCUUUGCAAUUAUGGGUCUUCAACGAGGAAUUCCUAGUAAACGCAAGUCAUCAGCUUGCAUUGAUUACGUCCCUGCCCUUUGUACACACCGCCCGUCGCACCUACCGAUUGAAUGGUCCGGUGAAAUCUCGUGACGGCGGCUUGGUCGCUUGCGUCCGACUGCUGAAACUGGAUUAAACCAUAUCAUUUAGAGGAAGGUGAAGUCGUAACA